rnacentral:rRNA from 1 species
UAGGGAAUCUUCGGCAAUGGACGAAAGUCUGACCGAGCAACGCCGCGUGAGUGAAGAAGGUUUUCGGAUCGUAAAACUCUGUUGGUGGAGAAGAACGUUGGUGAGAGUGGAAAGCUCAUCAAGUGACGGUAACUACCCAGAAAGGGACGGCUAACUACGUGCCAA